UACGUAGGGGGCAAGCGUUGUCCGGAAUCAUUGGGCGUAAAGAGCGCGUAGGCGGCCCAGUAAGUCCGCUCUGAAAGUCAGGGGCUCAACCCCUGAAUGCGGGUGGAUACUGCUGGGCUAGAGUCCGGAAGAGGCGAGUGGAAUUCCUGGUGUAGCGGUGAAAUGCGCAGAUAUCAGGAGGAACACCGAUGGCGAAGGCGGUUGGCUGGGCAGGUGCUGACACUGAGGCGCGACAGCGUGGGGAGCAAACAGG
rnacentral:rRNA from 1 species